AUCCAUCUGACGAGUCGUAAACAGAACGAAAUGAUCGUUUUGGAU
rnacentral:hammerhead_ribozyme from 1 species